ACAAACAAACAAACAAACAAAAGAGGAAAUUAGGACACUCAAGAAGACGUCAAGCAUGAUUGGACAUGAAGAGACAGGAGGACACGAGAAUGCAGCUGUCUGCACAUCAAAGAAAGAGACCUGCGGAGGCACCACACUGUCAACACCUUGAUCCUACAUUUCCGGCCUCCAGAACCGGGAGAAAAACGCUUCCUCUUGUUUAAGUCUGUGCUAUUUCUGGUGGCCACCUUAGUACUUUUAACACAUUCUUUACAUCGGGGUCCCUAGAGAGGGCUCACUUCAAGGACAGGUAGGGGGUAUGCAGGUGAUGACUCAGCUCCCAGGUGACUCCCACCCAUCAACAAAUGCCCACCGGCCCAGAUUUUCCAGGAUGCAGCCUGCUCCUGUGGACCACGUCUUGCAGACCACUGCUGCUAAAGGUCCCCGCCCAACUCUUUCUGGCCCCGAUUUCUCUUACUUCUCUCCUAGACUGUGAGGGACAGAACCCCGUGAGAACAGAGCGAGGCCUGUGCUCAAACCACCCUGCAUGUGAAGGGGAGUAUGUGUUUUAUGUGAAAAAAAAAAAGAAGAAGGAAGAGAAACCACUGUUGUCCAGCAGAACACACUGAAGCUUAUCAACAGAUGUACAGAAAAGCCUUCCCAUGUUAGGUUACGAAGAAGCAGAGGACAUGAGUUCAACCUCUUCUGCAGGGAAGGUUUCCAGGAAGGAGGACAGCAGCUUUGUGUCGAUGGCUUGAGAGCAGAUCAAUGUACUGGAAGGCGUUUGGGUCUGCAGCCAGGAAAGGAAUAUGAGUGGUGGGGGGCGGGAGACCCAAGUUCAAUCGGUCUCACGAAUUCCGCUCA
rnacentral:sRNA from 1 species